AUUGAACGCUGGCGGCAUGCUUUACACAUGCAAGUCGAACGGUAACAGGUCUUCGGAUGCUGACGAGUGGCGAACGGGUGAGUAAUGCAUCGGAACGUGCCCAGUCGUGGGGGAUAACGCAGCGAAAGCUGUGCUAAUACCGCAUACGAUCUAUGGAUGAAAGCGGGGGACUCGCAAGAGCCUCGCGCGAUUGGAGCGGCCGAUAUCAGAUUAGGUAGUUGGUGGGGUAAAGGGCUCACCAAGCCAACGAUCUGUAGCUGGUCUGAGAGGACGACCAGCCACACUGGAACUGAGACACGGUCCAGACUCCUACGGGAGGCAGCAGUGGGGAAUUUUGGGACAAUGGACGCAAGUCUGAUCCAGCCAUUCCGCGUGCAGGAUGAAGGCCCUCGGGUUGUAAACUGCUUUUGUACGGAACGAAAGGUUCCCAUUAAUACUGGGAGCUCAUGACGGUACCGUAAGAAUAAGC
rnacentral:rRNA from 1 species